UACGUAGGGGCCGAGCGUUGUCCGGAGUUACUGGGCGUAAAGCGCGCGCAGGCGGCUCGUCAAGCCUGACGUGAAAGCCCCCGGCUCAACCGGGGAGGGUCGUCGGGGACUGGCGGGCUUGAGGUCGGCAGGGGUUGGUGGAAUUCCCGGUGUAGUGGUGAAAUGCGUAGAGAUCGGGAGGAACACCCGUGGCGAAGGCGGCCAACUGGGCCGUACCUGACGCUGAGGCGCGAAGGCGUGGGGAGCGAACGGG
rnacentral:rRNA from 1 species